CAUUAAGAAGCUAUGCAACAGCAUUAGCCUUUUAAGCUAAAAAAAGAGGGACCCUCCCUCCUUAAUGA
rnacentral:tRNA from 1 species